rnacentral:rRNA from 1 species
UACAGAGGUCUCAAGCGUUGUUCGGAUUCAUUGGGCGUAAAGGGUGCGUAGGCGGCGGGGUAAGUCUGGUGUGAAAUCUAGGAGCUCAACUCCUAAACUGCACUGGAUACUGCUCUGCUAGAGGACUGGAGAGGAGACUGGAAUUCACGGUGUAGCAGUGAAAUGCGUAGAUAUCGUGAGGAAGACCAGUGGCGAAGGCGGAUCUCUGGACAGUUCCUGACGCUGAGGCGCGAAGGCCAGGGGAGCAAACGGG